rnacentral:rRNA from 1 species
UACAGAGGUCUCAAGCGUUGUUCGGAUUCAUUGGGCGUAAAGGGUGCGUAGGCGGCGCGGUAAGUCGGGUGUGAAAUCUCGGAGCUUAACUCCGAAACUGCAUUCGAUACUGCCGUGCUUGAGGACUGGAGAGGAGACUGGAAUUUACGGUGUAGCGGUGAAAUGCGUAGAUAUCGUAAGGAAGACCAGUGGCGAAGGCGGGUCACUGGACCGGUUCUGACGCUGAGGCGCGAAAGCGUGGGGAGCAAACGGG